GUUGGCUUCUGGGCGGUCCUUCACCAGGUGACUUCUCACUUUCCAAGCCCUACUGCUGUGAGUCCUGUUCCUGUGCCGGCGUCCGUACCUCUGAGGGUCUGCCGCUCACCUGGUAAGAAGCCCAACAGGUCGCCCUCCCUGUGGCUGCGAGAGCCUCCGCCCCGCGCAGCCUGGGUACACAGCCUCUCCUGUAUGCUGCAGAGGACGGUGGCAGCGCCAUGGAGGACCCUGGGAGCUCAGCGCAGGAUCCUGGGAGUGCCACGCAGCUGCUAGGGGGCGCCUGCUGAGAGGACUUCUGCUGGGAGCUGCAGCUGGGUGUCAUCCUCCAGGUGAGUCCGGGAAUUCUUGGGUGGAGUCCUGGAAUGGCUACUCUGUUCUCAGGAGUCAGCUCAAUUCUGUUGACUCUAGUGAUGAAUUGGGUUAGACCCUGAAAUCCCCUGACCUUUCCCUGUUAGCUGUAGGCCAAGUGAAAGCUUCUGAAUGUUAGUGAGUUGAAAUGACCAAAGACUGAAUGCCCCCAAGGAUGUUUCAAGGAAACUAUGGGGAGUAGGUGGAACCAAUGUGUUAAGGGUGACUCGACAUCAGGUUUCAGUGAUUUCAUGAUGUAGUAUACCGCUAACACAGAUAUUAUAAUAAUAACAAAAUAGAAGCAUUUACUUUGUAUUUCUAUGUGCUACCCUAAGGAGUUUAUACAUAUUUUCUUAUAUAACACAACAACUUUAUUAGUAAGUCAUGUAUGCGGGAACUUAGAAUGGUAAUCAGCAAGACAGACAACAGAAAUUGUAUUAUUUUCUAAGUAACGGCAUCAGAAUAUUAUUUCCAUGUAAGUUAAUCCUGGUGCUUCCAUUUUAGAAGUGUGCCCCCCUUCAGUAAAUUCAUUCUGAACUACAAAAAAGUUGAGUUUGGGUUGUCUUUUCAUAGAAACUCCAACAAAGCAUGUUUUUAUGAAGCUAAUAUUGUGUCUUGAGUCUUCAUGAAUACUGAUUGAGCCACCUACUUUAUGUGCCAACCACUUCUUACACUACUGCAGAUAGAGGCUUCUAAUCUCAUGGAGCUUAUACUUUAAAAGGAAAAGAUAGGCAAUAGAUAACAAUCAGGUAGUGAUCACUGCUAAGGCAGUGCAAUGCUAAGAUCAAUGCUAAGACAGUAGAACAGUGUCACAUCAUAGGGCUUCAUUGAUUUUGCCCAGCACCUUUCCUGUUACCUAAGUCCUAGGCUAGAGGCCUAACUCUGUGGGUCCACAAAAAUCAGAAUUGACCACUUGCCCCAAAAACCAAAUGGAGAAUACAAUGGGGAAAGAAGGAAAUAAACUUUAAUAAUCAUUGUACCUGUAUUCGGAAGACAAGUGAUGUCAAGUGUCUCAAUUCUGUCUUUCAGGAAACUGAUGUGAGUUUUACCUUCAGAGGAAGAACGGGGGUGGGAAACAAGAAGUAUGUGUAAUAAGCAGUCUUGGUCAAACUGUGGUGUGUUUUAUGAUUUUCUUGAAUUCUGAUCAUACCACAUGUUAUUGGUGUUGAGGAAAUUGCCAGCUGUUCAAGGGGCAAUUUCCACUUGCUUCAUAGGAUACUUAUCUAUUAGAUCUGUGAUUCUGGGAUGUCCCAUUCAGUUCCCAUGGGCCUAUAUUGCUUCUGCUGAGAGAAGGCAAUCUCUUCAGGGUUGAUCUGCCUCCAAGACUGACUGAGCUAAAAGUAGGGUAAAGACUGAAGACUUCUGGGCACCACUCCAGGUUCCUGGAACAGGACAUAGUAAAAGAAAUCGGUCUGUAGAAGAUAUCUUCGUUUUUCUGACCUUGAUGUCUUCAGCCUUGAAGGAAGUAAAUUAUCAGAUGUAGACAAAUAUUCCUUAAAUGAUUAAUAUGCUUAUGUAAAUUAGUAGAGCAGUUAUGGAAAUAGUAUGAGGCUCCUCAAGAAAAACAACAACAACAAACAAACAAAAAACACUGGGGAUGUGAGUCAGUGAUUGAGCUCCCUUGAAUUCAAAACAAACAAACAAAAAAGUAUUGUUAAGUGUUUGAGGGCCUUUUGGAGCAUUUUGAAAAUCUAGGACCUGUGAUUGUUAAAACCUUGGGGAAAAAUGAGAGAACAUUUAACAAUGAGCAAACUAAGACACAGAACAUUUAGGAAACUAGUUCAAUAUUUUCUAGUGAGUCAGCAUUAACUUCCAGAAUGAAGUCUAGCACAACUCUUUUUUCAUUCCUUGCUUAGGUUAUACAAUCAUGAUGCUUUCAUUAAUUCUGUUUUAUUCCUCUACAAAAGGGUAAGUCCUCUAACAACAACAACCCAGUAACAUUAACAGUAAUCAAAUCAUGCCUUUGAUAGUUCUUAGCAUCUUCAACCCCAACCCAAAUAAGCAUGAUUGAAGGACAGGUUAGUGAACAGAUUAUGUGUGGUAUCCACUAUAUCUUGGUUUACUGGGUUACAAUAGAAUACUAGCUGGCAGCAUCUACUGAGUCAGAUAUGAAGCUUGAGUAAAAGAUGUGACCAUAAGGGAAACUGUGUAGAGAACUCUACUUGCAUACUUAAACUUAAACCUUUGGGCUAAGGUUAGGAUUAAGUCAGUGCCCUCCACUGAGUUGAAAGCAAUUUGGGUUUUUAUUUUCCAAGAACAAAAAACUACAUUUGACUAUGAUGUAAUUAUAUUUCUGAGGCAUUAAAUUUACAUAAUAAAUGUAAAACCCAAGAGCCUGAGAAGAUAUACCAAGGAGAGUGUACAUUCAAGUAUAGCAAGAAGUGUUUUACAGCACCGUUGCCCAGUCACCUCUGAGAAUUGUCAUUCCCUUUCAAUACUAAAGGUAAGGUCACACAAUAAAAUAUUUUCAAAUAAAUCUUUGAGGACACAGGUCAAAGAUCGUAGAUGGCUCUGCACUGAAAUUUGCCUAUGUGUCUUGUUUGACAGAGCAGUUCUUGUUUUCCUUUUUUGUUCAUUUGUGAUACUUACUGGGAUUGAACUCAAGAUCUUGCACAUAUUAGGAAAGCACUCUCUUACUGAGCUACAUCCUCAUCCCUUUAUAUAUUAUUUUAUUCUACUUUAUUGAGUAGGGGUUAAUGUGUUUAAUUUGCCAGAGCUGGGCUUAAAUUCAUGAUCUUCCUGCCUUAGCUUCUUUAGUAGCUGUGAUAACAAGCAUGUGCCAUUGUGUCCAGGUUUUUAUUUUAUUUUACUUUGUAAUUGAAUACUUUUGCAAAUUAGUCACAGCAGUUUUACCUUUUGUUCUCUGUCCUGCCUGAAAACUUUUAUAUAAUCCACCUUGCUAGUUCCUGGAGCUUUUGAGUUUGCAAGUGCUGGAAUGUAACUUUUCUAAGAGAUUUUCACAUAGGGAGUAGGUUAUCUCAAUAAUAAAAUUACACGAACCCAAAAUGUUCCUCAUGAUUCAGCCUACAUUGAAACCCUAGGAACUCUCUGUGACCGUCCACUUCCACUGUGUUGAUGAGAACCUCAAGCCAUCUCAUACCCUAAGCUUACAAAGCCUGGGUCUUUGUUUAUAUUUUGUAGUUUAUCUAUCUUUUAUUACAGCAGAAAGUCAGAGCAACUUCCAUAUUGCAGCUGAAGGAUCAGAUGGGUGCUUCUGGAAAGAGAGUAAGAUGACACCAGGGUGCUCCUCAGCUCUGGGUCUUGCAGGCACAGGGCUUCCCCAUCCUGUGCAGAGGAUUUCUUCUAAAGCGGGCAACUGCAUCUGGCUUCCCCAGUCAGCUCUUGUUAACAGCAUUUAUUUGAGUGUCAUGGCAGCUGUCAUUCUUAAGAAGUGUUGACAGAUUUGUACUUUCUGUUUCUUGUUCUUUCUUUAGGAAAAGUGACAUUGCCCUAGCCAGGUGAAGAUCCUUGAAGACCAUGAACAAGAAAAGAAUCUCCGUGAUUGGGUGGAGCCUGUUGGCUCUGUUUUGUCAAUGGCUGCCUGGAUGAAGUCUUGGAAA
rnacentral:lncRNA from 1 species